rnacentral:rRNA from 1 species
GACGAACGCUGGCGGCGUGGCGUUAACACAUGCAAGUCGAACGGAAAGGCCUCUUGCUUGGCAAGGGGUACUCGAGUGGCGAACGGGUGAGUAACACGUGGGUGAUCUGCCUUGCACUUCGGGAUAAGCCUGGGAAACUGGGUCUAAUACCGGAUAGGACCAUGCUUUAGUGUGUGUGUGGUGGAAAGUUUUUUCGGUGCGAGAUGAGCCCGCGGCCUAUCAGCUUGUUGGUGGGGUAAUGGCCUACCAAGGCGACGACGGGUAGCCGGCCUGAGAGGGUGUACGGCCACAUUGGGACUGAGACACGGCCCAG